AGAAGACAAACACAUGCACAGAGUAAGAGGGCGGGGCUACUUGGCCUGUGUCUGUAACACAUCAGUGAGACGCACAAUGGAGGAAACAUGUGUGCAGCGUGUGCUCUUUCUGAUCUCACUGCUGAGCUGCACCACAGACCAAGCUCGUCUGACUGUGAGUCCCAGCAACUCUCAGUUCUUUAAAAGAGACUUUGUGACUCUGAGCUGUGAGGAGGACGACAGCUCUGCUGGAUGGACUCUGAGGAGAAACACAAGCAAACGACAGAGGA